GAUGAACGCUAGCGGCAGGCCUAAUACAUGCAAGUCGAACGGUGUCUUCGGGCAUAGUGGCGCACGGGUGCGUAACACGUAUGCAACCUACCUUACAUUGGGGGAUAGCCUUUCGAAAGGGAGAUUAAUACCGCAUAAGACAGUAGCUGGGCAUCCAGCAGCUGUUAAAGAUUUAUCGAUGUAAGCUGGGCAUGCGUCCAAUUAGCUAGUUGGUGAGGUAACGGCUCACCAAGGCUAUGAUUGGUAGGGGAACUGAGAGGUCAAUCCCCCACACUGGCACUGAGAUACGGGCCAGACUCCUACGGGAGGCAGCAGUAGGGAAUAUUGGGCAAUGGACGCAAGUCUGACCCAGCCAUGCCGCGUGCAGGAUGAAGGCGUUAUGCGUUGUAAACUGCUUUUAUACAGGAAGAAACGACUCUUGCGAGAGGCAUUGACGGUACUGUAUGAAUAAGCACCGGCUAACUCUGUGCCAGCCGCCGCGGUAAAAC
rnacentral:rRNA from 1 species